CGCCUCGCGGCCGCCGUCCUCCCGCCCUCUGCUUGGCUCGGCUCCCCGGAGGCCGGGGCGGGGGCGCCGGCAGGGCUGGGCCGCAGACUCGGGGAGGAGGCGGCCGUUCCCGCCGCGGUCGCGCAUCUGCGCCGGGCUUCUUCCGUACGUGUCGGGAUGGCUGGGCGGUGGCGGCGUCUCCGGCCCCGGGUAGUUCGGGGGCGGGGGACAAGCUAGGCCGCUUCUCCGACUGCUCGCCUGCCCGGACAGGCGGGGACCGCGUUGGGAGGUCGGGAGGGGGGAGCAGCGGGAAUCCGGAUCUGGUCCCCGGGGGCGGUCCGGCCGCUGCGCUCCCGGGCUGGCG
rnacentral:lncRNA from 1 species